rnacentral:tRNA from 1 species
GUCCCUAUCGUCUAGAGGCCUAGGACAUCGCCCUUUCACGGCGGUAACCGGGGUUCGGAUCCCCGUAGGGACGCCA